GUCUCGGCCCAAUACCACCCUUAAAUGCGCCCGAUCUCGGAAGCUAAGCAGGGACGGGCUUGGUUAGUACCUGGAUGGGAGACUGCCUGGGAAUACCAGGUGUUGUAGGCU
rnacentral:rRNA from 1 species